rnacentral:rRNA from 1 species
UGAACGCUGGCGGCAUGCCUAACACAUGCAAGUCGAACGCGAAAGUCACUUCGGUGGCGAGUAGAGUGGCGGACGGGUGAGUAACGCGUAGGAAUCUACCCAGUAGUGGGGGACAACUCGGGGAAACUCGAGCUAAUACCGCAUACGCCCUACGGGGGAAAGUGGGGGAUCUUCGGACCUCACGCUAUUGGAUGAGCCUGCGUCGGAUUAGCUGGUUGGUAGGGUAAAGGCCUACCAAGGCGACGAUCCGUAGCUGGUCUGAGAGGACGGCCAGCCACACUGGGACUGAGACACGGCCCAGACUCCUACGGGAGGCAGCAGUGGGGAAUAUUGGACAAUGGGCGCAAGCCUGAUCCAGCAAUGCCGCGUGUGUGAAGAAGGCCUGCGGGUUGUAAAGCACUUUCAAUUGGGAAGAAAUGCUUGAGGUUAAUACCCUCGAGUCUUGACGUUACCUUUAGAAGAAGCACCGGCUAACUCC